rnacentral:rRNA from 1 species
GUGUAAGCGAAGCUUUUAGUGGAGCGGUGAAAGGCUCAGUAACGGGCGAUUUAUUUGUUCUCCUGUGACGGACAACAUCGGGAAACUGAUGGGAAAACGUCUAAGUUGCAGUUAAUUGAUUGUGACGUAAACGAAUUUGUGCAGGAGAGUAAGAUGCCAUCCUAUCAGUUAGUAAGUAGGGUAAGGGCCUACUUAGACGAAGACGGGUACGGGGAAUGAGGGUUUGAUUCCGGAGAGGGAGCCUGAGAGAUGGCUACCAGGACCAAGGUCAGCAGCAGGCGCGAAAAUUAUCGAAGCCCGCCUAGGGGCGAUAGUGAGGAGACGUGUAUAACGAAGUACGUGUAAAGAACGUGCUAAUAACUGGAGGUCAAGUCUGGUGCCAGCAUCCGCGGUAAUUCCAGCUCCAGGGGUGUCUAUGAUGAUUGCUGCGAUUAAAAAGUCCGUAGUCAAUCUGACUGACUGGCCUGCAAUGUGAUUGAUUAAAGAACGAGCAGGGUUAGGAAAGCAGAGAAUUAGGAGCGACCGAGGGCUAGAGUAUUGAAUGGCGAGAGGUGAAAUUUGAUGACCCAUUCAGGAGUGACAAAGGCGAAGGCACUAGUCAAGGGCGAAUCCGAUGAUCAAGGACGUAGGCUAGAGUUUCGAAAACGAUUAGAGACCGGAGUAGUUCUAGCAGUAAACUAUGCCGACGCCGUGGUAUCAACUUGGUAUUGCGGAAGAGAAAUCAAGUAAGGCUUUGGGGAGAGUACGCGCGCAAGCGAUAAAUUUAAAGGAAAUUGACGGAGGAACACCACAAGGAGUGGAGUGUGCGGC